CAAUUAAUAUCUGAUAAACCCAAAUCAUUAUCCAUUUCGUAUUGAUUUAAAAUAAAUCAUAAUUUUAAUGAUGGCUUAGACAGCUGACUGACAUUGAUACUAGCCGUUUAUUUACUGCACCGACCACCGUGCCAUCUCCUCCAUGACAUUUCCUAGAUGACAUUUUAAUACUCGUAAUAAUAGAAGAAGAAUAAAGUAUGAAAUACAUUCAAAGGCUUAUUUUUUCCUGGACAUCUUUUCGAUAAAUCCAUUUCUGAUAUUUAUGGUUUCAAGUUAUUGAUAUUUGCAAUGAGUUUUCAAACAUUCUUCACUAAGUGAUACUAGUGAUUUAAGAACUUAGUGAUCGGGUUUUUUAUAGAUUUUGUAACAUAGCCUCACUUUUCAAUACGUCUAAUAACUCGCUCUCAGACAGCCAAAAUAUAAAGAAUUUUCAGCAAGGGAUCAAAAAGCCUAAAUGCAUUCAUAGAUACCGUUUUCAUUUAAUUACAUUUUGGUUCAAGAAUGUAUGGAAUCGUUUCCAUCGCCUUUCAAGAAAUCAUUAAAACUGUCUAUAGUAUGGUAAAUCUUGUAGUCAUCUGUAUAUAUUAUAGUACUCAAAACGCAUAGCAUAUUGUUAAAAAAAAUAGGAACAGUACGGGGUCCAUUUUAGAGCCCUGGGGAACACCGGAUGUUAUAGAAAUAAACUCUGACUCACAAACCUUGUUGAGAACUACCUUUUGAGUCCUUUUGGUUAUGUAAGACUUAAAAUAACGCCAUAAAUUACCACGAAAACCAUUGAAUGCCAGUUUUUUUAAAGUUUUUUAUGAACAAAUCUGUCAAAGGCUUUCCGAAAAUCUGAAAAAAUAUUUUCAUCAAUGCUUUUAACAACUUUUGCAACGUGGGCAUUAUCCGGCUUCAAUGAUGGUUUGGUGGGCAAGACUCGGCGCCGGGUCAUAAAACUUGAUCCACCCAAUCUUAGUUAGAAACCAAUGUUCCGAACUUCAUCUCACUGAAUAUGGCUAGCUCUGAAUGCCAUGAUAAUUCGGAGUCCCUAAAACAAUCCAUACAAUUGGCAGUGAAGAAUUUUCCCAUGGAAAGAGUGUGUGCUUCUAUUGAUAACUGAUCUCAACGUUUAAAGGACUGUAUUGCAGCCAAUGGAGGUCUCCAUCAGGUUUAUAUAUUUUUAAUGGUUUUAUAUUAAUGUAUUAAACUAUGUAACACACUGUAAUAGUAAUAAAU
rnacentral:misc_RNA from 1 species